AUUAAUAAAUGAAGUACAUAAACAAACAGAGAUAAGAGAUUCCAGCUUCCAUCCUCCCUUUCCUAAUAUGUAUGGCUAAGUAUUAACGAUUAUGGAGGAAUAUUUGGGUGUGGCGUUGGGACUGGAUCUCAGGCACAGAGGGCCAGGUCAAGUCUGUAAAAAGAUGAGGUAAGAUGACCAAGGGGAGUGUGUAUUCUGAGUGUGGAGUAAGUUGGGAGAGGUAUGAUUGUCCAAUAAUAUAUAAUCUGCUAGCAGGUUUUUCCAGUGGGUAAUGUGGAUUGAGUUCUUUGAAUUCCAGUUCAUGAGGAUUGUUUUCUUGGUGACAGUUAGUGCUACUAGAAGAAAUGUAUUGUCUGUGGUGUUAAGGUUGGUUGAAGAUGUAUCUCCUAGUAUGCAGAGGGAAGGGAUUGCUGGGAUGUGAUGGCCAAGGAUAGAGGUGAGUGAAUCUGUGACUUUUAUCCAGAACCUAUGGAUCGGGGUGCAAUGGCAGACAGCGUGGAUGUAUGUGUCCGGGGUGUUUAGCAUGCAGUGGGAACACGUGUCGGAGCCAAAACCCAUUCUUGCCAGUUUCUGUGCAGUGUAGUGAAAUCUAUGGAGUACCUUGUACUGUAUUAGUUGAAGAUAGAGGUUUUUGCAGAUUUGGGUCCAGAAGCCGGCAUCAGGAGUAAUGGACAGGUCUGAUUCCCAAUUGUGGUAUGGAAGGCUUAAAGUUUUUUCGGAUUGUGAUAUAAUUUUGUAUAUUUUGGAAAGGAUUUUUUGAGGGGAGGGUAUGUUAAUCAGUUCCAAGAUUUGUGGGGGGAUGUCUAAAUUAGGUAUCUGAAUAUUCCAUUUUGCUUGAAUAGUUGAUUUAAUUUGAAGAUACUGUAAGAAUUGUUUACCCUCAAUGCCAUGCUUCUGGACCAAAUAGGCAAAAGAGACCAGUCUGUUGUCUUGGAUGAUAUGAUGAAGAUGAGUGAUACCCUUGCCUAUCCGUGUGAGAAAGUUGAGUGGUUUUUUUAUUGAUGGUGAAAUCAGGAUUGUUCCAGAUUGGGGUGUGAUUUGAUAGUGUCAGAGGUGAAUUAGUGAGGUCAUAAAACUUCCACCAGGCUGUCAGACUUGAUGCUAUGGUUGGAGCUUUGAAAGAUGGAUGCUUUUUGACUGACUGGCUGCAGAAAGGUAAGUCUGAGAUCUGAAUAUCCUUGCAAAUGGUUUGUUCUAGGUCUAACCAGGUGAAUUCAGGUGAGGUGGGAUGUAUCCAUUUGUAAAUGUAUUGAAGCUGGUUGGCCAGUGCAUAGUGGUAGAAGUGUGGCGCCUCUAGACCACCUAGUAUUUUAGGUUUUUGAAGUGUGGUCAGCUUGAUUCUUGGUGUCUUGUUUUUCCAGUAGAAUUUAAUGAUUGUAGAGUCUAGUGAUUUAAACCAGGAUUGGGUAGGCUGAAUAGGAAUCAUUAAAAGUAAAUAGUUAACUUUGGGCAAAACUGUCAUUUUGAUAACUGAUAUCCUGCCCAUGAUAGAUAGUCCAUCCAGCGCUGGAGGUCAUCAGUUAUUGAAUUGAGUAGGGGGGUGAAAUUUAGACCAAACAAGUCUGAGAGCUUGGGGGAAACCCUUAUCCCCAGGUAUGUGAUAUGAUUGAUGCAUAGGGGAAUAGGUGAUGAGUAGGCCAACACAUCCCAGCUGUUGGAAUGUAAUGGGAGGAUUGCAGAUUUGUUCCAGUUGAUAGAAUAUUCAGAAAUGUUGGAGAAUGUGUUGAUCAGUUCAAUAGUUUUGUGUACAGAUGUUGGGAGAUUUUGUAAGAAAAGUAAGAUAUCAUCAGCAUAGAGACUAAUUUUGUGAUGUAAAUUUGGAGUUUGAACUCCCUUGAUGAGGGAGUUCUGUCGGAUGGCGGCAGCUAAAGGUUCAAUGAAGAUGGUAAAUAGCAGAGGUGGAAAGAGUACUAAAAUAUUAUACUCAAGUACAAGUACUGUUACUCUGAUGAAAUUUUACUUAAGUACAAGUAAAGUUACCAGACAAAAAAUCUACUCAAGUAAAAGUAAAAAGUAGAUCAUUUAAAAUGUACUUUGAGUAAAAGUAAAACAUUACUUUUAACAAUGGGUGUUUUCUGCCUCCAUUGUGUUGUGCAAAAAUGAAAAAGAAGAGGAAACAAGGAUAUAUGUACAUCUCAACCCAGAUGUUUUAUUUAAAGGAAGUGUAUCAAAUUGAAUGCUUAGGAUAAUGCUGCAUUAAAACUGAGACAAACAAAAAAGGUCAAUACACACAGUCAUGUCAUUUACAUCGCCCUGACCACACACAAAGCAUUGUACACGAAAUAUGAAAGUGAAAUGUUGCACCGAAAUCUCGUAGCUUGCCUGUGUGCACUGUGUGUUAUUGAACAAUUCAAUUCAAACAUUAUUUGUUUUGCUUAGUAUUCCUUUCUGGCCUGUUGGAUGUAGAAUGGUAGGAGGACUGAUCAUGUCAGGUUGGCGAGCUAACUUGCUUGCAUGAUUAACCAACCGAAUAACAGACUAGUUACCGUUAUGUUACAGUACCAACAGGUUGCUACUUCAACAUUAGCAAUGCCAUCCACUAUUUUUGGAAUAUAACCAGCCUAUUGUCGGUUUUACUAUGGAAAGGAAACAUUAUGAUCAGGGGCGCAGAUACGUUUUUUGAACUGGGGGGGACAAAAAACCGGGGGGGACAAAGCUGCCAGCAAACCAACCCCAACCCCGAUAUGCCUGUCAAACCUGUUGUGGGUAACCAUAGCAACCAAGCUCGAGCUCGCAACCUGUGCAGUCUGCGCAGCUCAACCAACCGAAUAUCAGUCUUUGUUUUGUUUUAUGUGAGUUGUUGCAACUAUGCUGUGCACCUCAAUAAACCGAAUGGUAAUUAGUCUUUUGAUUUUUCCGUGAGGUUUGCCUUAUGCAAAGAAAGACAGCAUAGACGUUUUUUCCUCCCUAUAAGUGGGGGGGACCGAACGAGGUGAAUUUAAAUCUGGGUGGGACGAAUCCCACCCGUCCCACCCUCUAUCUGCGCCCGUGAUUAUGAUGCCAAUGACAAUACUUACCUCAACAUGCUUGCGCAGAUUAGACGUCGAAUUUUUGUAUGCCGCAAUGGUUGUCUUCUUGGGCACACAUAAUCUGCAUUGCAUAAUGAAACUGUCACCCCUUUUCUCUACGAAGCUGAAGUGAUCACGUAUGUAGGGCCAGGGGUGCACUUCAUUACUGGAAGCAAUUGCGUUUUCUGCAGGGUCAUCCACCACAGGUUCCUCGGUCUCCUCCAUGUCCGCAGGGGUGCUUUAUCAACACCUGUAGCCCAGGGGCUAGGCCCCUCAUAGGCUACCUGUCAACCCUACCCUUACCGUUGGCCAGGAAAACACCCUUAUUUUAUUUGCAAUACAUGUCAAGCAUUUACAGUGUAAGCGCGUAAUUAGCCUAGAAGCCUACGAUAGGUUACGUUUGGCUCAGCGUAGCUGCGCAAAGCUCACGCUCACAUCGCUCAACACAUCUGACCACAGAGGAAGAGAAGAACGCGCGCAUUAUCAUUACAGAGCCAAUUGUGAUUAUUACCACGGACAGGACAGUGAUACUGUGUAACUUUCACACAGGGGCAUGGCCAGAGAUAACCACACAAGCGCGCGUGCGCUAUAAUGUAGACCUAUGUGCUGUAAACAUAAAACACACACACCUACAGACAAGUCCUUUUAAAAAAUAAAAUACAUAAAAAUAGCUCGGCGGCAUGAAGACAAACAUUCACUGCAAGUCAAGGUACUUGGCUCGGCGGCCACAUGAAACGUAAACACCAUGGACAGCGGCCAAACUCCUAAGUCUACAGACCGAAAUACACGAAACCAAGUCCUACUAGGGUCUAUUUUACCGAUCUAUGUUCAAGCAUCAUGCAAGUCUUCCUUCUCCUUGAAUAAGACCGUGCAUUCAACUGCCUUUUUGACAUGAAAUACCACUUGCAACAAUAUUUCACGCACUCCAUCAAGAAAAAAGUUAAACAUGAUGAACACGGGCAUAAUGUUUUGAGCAUACGAUUUUUUAAAAAGAAACUAGCUACAUCAAAGUCCUUCAAUAAACCCAUCCUUUAGCGCAAAUGAGCUUAACCUAGUUCAAAGCAUGACGCUAGCAGUAGCUGCAUAAGGCAAAAUCAUGUGGGCCUUUCGUCAACAACAAGCCACGGCGGGCAAACAUUAAUACUCAAGUGUCCUUACCUUAAAACGUUGUCUUGACCACAGAACUUCUCAAGUAUUUCACUUAAAUCCACACGGGUUAACAACACACCCAACACAGCUAGCGAGAAAUGUGGAUCUGCGCUAGCUUUGUAUUGCUAUUCCCCUCAGUAUGCUUACUCUGUCUGCUGCCCGAACUGUGAACAUUAUAGGCUACAAUCUUUUCAUCAAUUUCUUCAGUAGAUGCCGUUUUAGACAUUUUAUUAUCCCCAUCGAAAUAUGCUAUUACACUAACAGGAUUAUAACUCAAAUCACACGACACGUAUUCAAAUCACAACUGACUUAUUUUACUGUUGGACAGAUCAUAGCAUAUCUAGCCUAGCUGCACAUAGCCUAGCUGCUGGUAGGCUGAUAACUGAUAAGUAGCUGAUAUUCUGAACAGAUUGGUGAUCCUUACCUUAAAAAAGUCUGUGACUUUAGGCAACAAUUCUAUCAUUACCUGCAUCUCUCUUUUUUUUCCUUUUAUGCGCCCCGCUAACAUGUGAACGCUUCAUCUUUCAAAGCCUCUAAAUUUGUGUCUCAGUAGUCUGCAGUCUUUGGCGCGCUUUCGUGCGUGACAUUCCAUUUUAUUCUGGUACAGUUGUGGGUGUUCGUUUCGCGAACCACAUCCACCAUGUCUCUUACAGCAGGCUACUGUGCGCUCAUUUAUUUCUAACCUUAUUUCUAUCCGUACAUUAAUGUAGGCCCACGAUUCUGACAGUUUAUUAUUUUAUUAAUAUUACAAGGCCCCUGAUUGGCUGUGGCCCAGGGACUUGAGCCCCCCCCUUAAAGCGCCGGUGCAUGUCCGCCAUCGUCUGUGUGAGAAUCGCGCGCGCGACAACUGUCCUUCCUGUGAUUCAUUUCCAGAACGCAUUUCCCCUUCUCCGUUUUAGACUUUUUUUAUUUUUUAUUUAUUUUAUUUUUUUACUCAGUAACGGUUGUGAUGUAAAAUGUACCAAAGUACACUACUUAAAAGAAAACAUACUUAAGUAAAAGUACACUCUUUAAAAAUUACUUGAAAAAGUAUAAGUAUACAAAAAAGCUACUCAAGUACAGUAACGUGAGUAAUGUAAUUCGUUACUUUCCACCUCUGGUAAAUAGUGAAGGAGAGAGUGGGCAUCCUUGUCUAGUCCCCCGGUGCAAAGUGAAACUACAUGAUGUUAGGCCAUUGGUGAUUACUGUGGCUGAAGGUGACGUGUAUAGAAUUUUGAUCCAACUAAUGAAGGAUUCCCCAAAACCAAACCUUCCCAAUGUGGAAAACAGGAAAUUCCAGUUGACCCUGUCAAAUGCUUUUUCUGCGUCUAGAGUUGCUAUGAUGGUAUUUUCUUGUAUGGUUGAGGAGUAAUGUAUAAUGUUAAAUAAUCUGCGAGCAUUGGAGGUUGAGAUUCUACCCUUGAUAAAACCAGUUUGGUCCGGAUGGAUAAUGGAUGGGGUGACCUCUUCUAACCUACGUGCUAAAGCUUUGGCGAUUUAUUUUAUUGUCAACGUUGAGAAGAGAAAUUGGUCGAUAGCUAGAUGGAAUUGUUGGGUCCUUAUUGGGCUUGAGGAGGAGUGAAAUUGUUGCUGAGGUAGUGCUAGCUGUUAGUUUUGAAUUUUCUUUUGAUUCAUUGAUCAUCCUGAUGAAUAGUGGAGCCAAAAUGGACCAGAAUUGUUUGUAGAACUCAGCAGGGAAGCCAUCCGGUCCUGGUGCUUUAUUGUUAGGUAUGCGUGCCAGAGCUGAAUACAGUUCCUCUUGAGUAAUACGUGAUUCCAGUUUAUUUAUUUGGGUAACUGCAUGUUCUCUUUUUGUAGAAUUGAAAGACUGCCACAUGGGGGUGGGACCAUGUAAAUUUUGAGGGUAUCAACAGUGUCAGCCUCUCUACUGUUGAUCGUGUCCUCAAGCGCAACAGACUGCGCAUGAAACAGCUGUACAGAGUGCCCUUUGAUCGCAACUCAGACAGUCAAAGAGCAAAGAUUCCAGUAUGUACAGAGGGUUUUUCAACUGGAUGCAAUGGAAAGACCCCAUGAAUACAUCUACAUGGAUGAAGCUGGGUUUAAUCUCACCAAAAGGAGAAGGAGAGGCCGUAAUGUGAUUGGCCAUCGGGCCAUUGUUGGUGUCCCUGGGCAGCGUGGUGGCAGUGUGACAUUAUGUGCUGCCAUCAGCAAUCAUGAGGUUGUCUACCAUCAUGCCAACCUGGGGCCCUACAACACUCACCAGCUCCUCAUUUUCCUCAAUCACAUGCGAGAUGCUCUGUUAGGGCAGCAGGAUGAGCAUCCCAUCUAUGUUGUUGUUUGGGACAAUGUGAGUUUUCACAGAGCCCUCCAGGUUAGAGAGUGGUUCAGUAUGAACCAAAGUUUUAUCAAUCUUUGCCUUCCACCGUACUCCCCUUUCCUAAACCCCAUUGAGGAAUUCUUCUCCUCAUGGCGGUGGAAGGUAUAUGAACGCCAACCUUACACCAGGGUAAAUCUCCUGCAAGCCAUGGAACUUGCCUGUGGUGACAUAGGUGUGGAGGCAUGCCAAGCCUGGAUACGGCAUGCCAGGGGUUUUGCCCCCCGUUGCCUGGCCAGACAAAAUCUGGCCUGUGAUGUGGAUGAAGUCCUGUGGCUUGACCCAGUACAGAGACAUGACGCUGUGGCUGAGUAAUGCACUUAUUUGUAUAUUUUUGUACUUUAUUUUUACAUGGGCUUACUGUACAUAAGUGGCAAAUGCACAAGAUUUCUGCUUGUGCAUUUACAUGUAGCACUUGUAAAAACAAGAUUUCUGUUUUUUGUCUUUUUGUACAAGUGCUAAAUGCACAGUUUUUUUGUUUUGCAACAUGCAUUUAGCCUACAGUGAACAAUAAACAUUUAUUUCUCCAG